GACAGCAGUCGCCGCGGGAAUACGGAGGGAGCUAGCGUUGUUCGGAAUUACUGGGCGUAAAGCGCGCGUAGGCGGUUACUCAAGUCAGAGGUGAAAGCCCGGGGCUCAACCCCGGAACUGCCUUUGAAACUAGGUGACUAGAAUCUUGGAGAGGUCAGUGGAAUUCCGAGUGUAGAGGUGAAAUUCGUAGAUAUUCGGAAGAACACCAGUGGCGAAGGCGACUGACUGGACAAGUAUUGACGCUGAGGUGCGAAAGCGUGGGGAGCAAACAGGAUUAGAUACCCCCGUAGUCCCUGUCUCUUAUAC
rnacentral:rRNA from 1 species